ensembl:lncRNA
AAAAGAUUUAAGUGCCUUUGAAUGAGGUAUGGUAGUAGGGGCCAGGCGGUAGUAGUAGUAGUAUGGUAGUAGGGGCCAGGCGGUAGUAGUAGUAUGGUAGUAGGGGCCAGGCGGUAGUAGUAGUAUGGUAGUAGGGGCCAGGCGGUAGUAGUAGUAUGGUAGUAGUAGUAGUAUGGUAGUAGUAGGGGCCAGGCGGUAGUAGUAGUAGUAUGGUAGUAGGGGCCAGGCGGUAGUAGUAGUAUGGUAGUAGGGGCCAGGCGGUAGUAGUAGUAUGGUAGUAGGGGCCAGGCGGUAGUAGUAGUAGUAUGUAGGGCCAGGCGGUAGUAGUAGUAGUAGUAUGGUAGUAGGGGCCAGGCGGUAGUAGUAGUAUGGUAGUAGGUGCCAGGCGGUAGUAGUAGUAGUAUGGUAGUAGGUGCCAGGCGGUAGUAGUAGUAUGGUAGUAGGUGCCAGGCGGUAGUAGUAGUAGUAUGGUAGUAGGGGCCAGGCGGUAGUAGUAUGGUAGUAGGGGCCAGGCGGUAGUAGUAUGGUAGUAGGGGCCAGGCGGUAGUAGUAUGGUAGUAGGGGCCAGGAGGUAGUAGUAGUAUGGUAGUAGGGGCCAGGCGGUAGUAGUAG